UACGUAGGGUGCGAGCGUUAAUCGGAAUUACUGGGCGUAAAGCGUGCGCAGGCGGUUAUGUAAGACAGGUGUGAAAUCCCCGGGCUUAACCUGGGAACUGCAUUUGUGACUGCAUAGCUAGAGUACGGUAGAGGGGGAUGGAAUUCCGCGUGUAGGCAGUGAAAUGCGUAGAUAUGACGGAGGAACACCGAUGGCGAAGGCAAUCCCUGGACCUGUACUG
rnacentral:rRNA from 1 species